rnacentral:rRNA from 1 species
GUGCUUAACACAUGCAAGUCGAACGGAAAGGCCCCUUUGGGGGUGCUCGAGUGGCGAACGGGUGAGUAACACGUGCGUGAUCUGCCCUGCACUUUGGGAUAAGCCUGGGAAACUGGGUCUAAUACCGAAUACACCCUGCUGGUCGCAUGGCCUGGUGGGGGAAAGCUUUUGCGGUGUGGGAUGGGCCCGCGGCCUAUCAGCUUGUUGGUGGGGUGAUGGCCUACCAAGGCGACCACGGGUAGCCGGCCUGAGAGGGUGUCCGGCCACACUGGGACUGAGAUACGGCCCAGACUCCUACGGGAGGCAGCAGUGGGGAAUAUUGCACAAUGGGCGCAAGCCUGAUGCAGCGACGCCGCGUGGGGGAUGACGGCCUUCGGGUUGUAAACCCCUUUCAGUACCGACGAAGCGUAAGUGACGGUAGGUACAGAAGAAGCACCGGCCAACUACGUGCCAGCAGCCGCGGUAAUACGUAGGGUGCGAGCGUUGUCCGGAAUUACUGGGCGUAAAGAGCUCGUAGGUGGUUUGUCGCGUUGUUCGUGAAAUC